GACGAACGCUGGCGGCGUGCUUAACACAUGCAAGUCGAACGGAAAGGCCCUUCGUUGUACUCGAGUGUCGAACGGGUGAGUAACACGUGGGUGAUCUUCCCUUCACUUUGGGAUAAGCCUGGGAAACUGGGUCUAAUACCGAAUAGGACCACUCGCUUCAUUUUCUUUGGUUUUAAGCUUUUGCGGUGUUGGAAGGGCUCGCGGCCUAUCAUCUUUUUGGUGGGGUAAUUGCCUACACAGGCGACGACGGGUAGCCGGCCUGAGAGGGAGACCGGGCACACUGGGACUGAGAUGCGGGCCAGACUCAUACGGGAGGCAGCAGUGGGGAAUAUUGCACAAUGGGCGGAAGCCUGAUGCAGCGACGCCGCGUGAGGGAUGACGGUCUUCGGGUUGUAACCCUCUUGCAAUAGGGAAGAAGCGCAAGUGACGGUACCUAUAGAAGAAGCACCGGCCAACUACGUG
rnacentral:rRNA from 1 species